rnacentral:lncRNA from 12 species
GUUUGAUCCUCUUUGUUUGCUUUUUGUUUCAUGUGUGUGUUUUCUCCGUUGACAUUAUUCAUGAUGCUGUGAGAUAUAAUAGAGAGCUGAGAUUCACCCUGAGUGGUGCUGUCUGAUGUCUGUUUGGAACAAAUUCAAACAACCCAAACAGUCCAGGGAAAACUUCAACUUCUCUUGUGAUCACCACCUGCCAGGAAGCCAAGCCCAGCUGCAGGAGAACAUCACUGUUUGGCAGGUCUCCAUCACAAGAAAGCAAUGACCAGUAGAUAAACAAACAGACUCAUAUGCCUUGAUGCACAAGGAAGAAUGCAG